AUUAUUUUUUUCUUUUUAGGGCCACACCUGUGGCAUGUGGAGGUUCCCAGACUAGAUGUUAAAUCAGAGCUGCAGCUGCCGGCCUACACCACAGCCACAGCAAUGCUAGAUUUGAGCCAUGUCUGCAACCUACAGAAUAGCUCAUGGAAACACCAUGUCUUUAACCCACUGAGCAAGGCCAGGGAUUGAACCCACAACCUCACAGACACUGUAUCAGGUCCUUAACCCACUGAGCCACAAUGGAAACUCUUCCAAUAACUUCUGACUGGGAGAGAAGGAUGGUGCUAGAGAAGCAUUAUUCCUAAGGCCCACUCUGUAAGGGAGAGCAGAGAACUUAGAGAAGGAAGUCAUGUGCUGGGCAGUGCCUAGUACAGGGACAGCUUAUCCUCAGCAAUAGGGUAGAAUAACAACAAAGCUAAUGCUUUAGUGCUUUAUAGAAGCAAAGCAUUUCCAUCAUGAUUUUUAACCCUUCCUACCACUCUCCGAAAUAGGUAUUAUUUAUUUCAACUUAAAAAAGAGGAAGGUGAAGGUUAGCAGGGGUUUAGAGAUUUUCCCAAGCCCAUUUAGCCUGUGAAUCUAGAUCCCAAACACCAUGAUUCUCAGGACAGCUCUCUCUCCAUUAUGACGGCGAGAAUGUUUUUCCAGGCCCUGAAGAUGCGCUGACGAGGGAUCCCUGGGGAUUUGUUCACAGUAAAAGUGAGGAGAAAGUGGACCCAGCUUUCAGAAAGCCUCUGCUGUUGGAGUUGGAGCCCAGGGCAGGAGCCAUGUGAGACCAGCAGACAGGCAGGCUUGGGGAACUCCUGUAGGUGAUGGAAGUGCUUUUCCUCCAGAAGGAGAGAGAGGUGGUAGAAAAGGGAAGAAAGAAACAUAAGAAGGCAGCUUUUCUGAUAUAUGGAGGGUAUGAUAAAGCACAGGAACCCUCAAUGAGGUCAGAGAAACUAUCAAAUAAACCACUGGGAAGCCUGGGGGCCUGGGGACAGGAUGGUGAGGAGAGCACAGGAUGACUCAGUGUCAUGUGACAGUGCAACCUCUUCUCCUACUGUCUUGUCUUUUACACAGAGAUUAAAGUGAGGAUCUUACUUAGGCGGGCAGAGAGAAUAAUGGCAGGAUGGCCGGAAUUCCCUCCAGUCUCCAGCCCUGUGAUCUAUGAUUUUAAUAAGCUCCACAAUGCAGGACACCCUAUAAAACUGUCCCUGGAGCUGCACUCUCUCCAGGUCCCAGGGGUGGCAGCAAUUUUGCAUUGAACUGCUUUGCAUUUUAUAGAUUUGGUUCUUUCUUACUUAAGUAGGCUAUUCUUGGGGAAAAUGCUGUAAUAAUCAUCGCAUCCUACAGAGCUCGGCACUGCAGCCACCGACAUGUAGAUGUCCCACUGUGUCCCGGUGGCUCACAGUGUCAUUCAUCAUCGAUAAGCCUCUAAUCAGAUUCGAGCUGUGACUUGGUCACGUGGAGGAUUUUAAACCAGCCCCCCUCCCCCUGGGUCAUUUCCCACUUGGGGUUCGAAGGAGUGAAGAGCUAGUUAGGUGAUCCCUAGGUUUAUAGCAGGUGGAAUUCAAAAGGGCAUCAGAGCAUUUGAGGAAGUUUAUACAAAAAGGUAAGCCCCCCCCCCCCAGUAAGAUGAGGACAAAGGUAGCAUGCUCAGGGCAUUUUUUUUCUCUUCCUGCUUCCAUUUAAGAAAGAAUCAAUUUAUUAUAUUUUUGGCUUCUCACUCUGAAAGCUAGAGCUGAUUUUAAGGAAUUAGUAAAUUAAUCGGUUCAGUUCUGCCCUUUGUCUCAGGGCACAGAUGUUCCCUGGCUGCAGCGGGAGAGCCUGAGGCUUGAUUGGUGGGAGGGACUCGGAAAGGGCAGUGUUCCAGCCCGCAGACCAAACCCCACAGCCCCCUCUGUUGUUUGAAAGUGUUGAGGAAGUGUUUGCGACCCCCAGGAUGUUUCUGGUAACAUCCAUGGGGACAGCUGUGGACGGUCCUUGCUGGGGAGGGCAGACAAGCAUACUCCAGAGAGUCUGGAGUCUGGGUUCGCAGCUCCUUUGACACAGCACGUGGUUAAUGAAUGAAGGGACAAGUCCGCCGAAUGAUCCCCUUCCCACCCAUGGUGUCCUUGUGCAGAAUUCUGAACCCUGUGCAGUUUGUCUCUGGUGCUCCACCAUCGCUUCAGCAUCCCCAGGUGGCCCACUGCCUCCCUGGGAUCACCCACGCCCGCCCUCCAAGCCCUGCUCACCUCCACAGCCCGGGGCAGUGCCACCCUGCCCCAUUCCCCCCUAGUUCUGCUCACGCAGCACGGUGGCUCCAGAGAGCAAGGAGGGAGGCCCUGUCCUGGAUGCUUAGCUUGCUCUUCUGACCCCGAGUCCUUUGUCCACCAAGACCUGCGCUGUCUUCCCUUUUCUGCUGUGACCUCAUGGUUUGCAGACCAUGCAGUUGCUCCUCCCUCCUAUGACAAAUCCAUGGGCUUAGUCCCUAGGUCAGAAGUCAAAGGCCAAGAUUCCAUGGCAUGAGAAAGUCCACACCCUCACACUGCUGUGUGGCUGUCUGACACCCUGGCUGUAGUUCACCGCCAUCCCAGGCAAGCUCCCACCUGGACAUCAGCCCAGCUUCUUCCCACCUUCACUCGAAACUAACAAGCUGACAGUUUUGCUGCUGGUCCUCUGGCCUGAUCCUCUCCCUGGUGCCUGAUGCCACCUGAGUGACCCAGGACUUGGGGACAGGCCCUGGAGAGGGGCUGGACCUCAAGGGAGCACCUAGGUUCCCAUUCAUUCACAGAGCCAUCCUGUUUAUCUCGGGAAUUCUUUCCCACAGCCCUAGGAGAGCUGCUUCCUAACUAGAACUGCAAUUUUCCUCUCAAAAGGAUUUAAAAUUAGAUCUUUGUUCUCCAGGCUCAUUUCUUGCCUCAAGAUAUAGAUGGAGACUGUCACUUUCUCCAUCACAAGUUGGCUAUGGAAACAAUAUUUACCUCGUUAAUUUGUCUUUUAGGACAUGGAAUAAAACAUCUGUAUCCAUCAACAUUUUAGAUUUCUGCAGACCCCCAGUGAACAGAUGUGCUGUAGCCUACGAAAAGAACAGGCUUAGAGGCAGUGCAUGUGUGUGCAUAUGUGUGUGUGUGUGUGUGAGUGUGUGUGUGUCCCCUUAUUCUCCUGACACUACUAUGAAAGUAAUCCUGAAAUCGUGAAAGGCAGGGCUGGGGCUCUCAGAGUGCAGAAAGAUGAGCUUGUCUGCUUCUGUCUAGUGGCCCUGAGGAUAAUUUAGACUGUACCUAUUUAGUUGUACCAACUGAAAGGAGAGGAAAGGUAGGGACUAAAUCAUAGAGACUCCUGUGAAAGCUUCAAGAGAGGAUGCUUGGUGUUGAGGCUCUGGUCACUCCACUGCCUCCACCCGUGGAAAAGCGCUUUUGUACCUGAACUUUAGGAUCACACUGGUGUCCCAUUACUUUUUCAUCCCCAGAUUCUUUAAACAUGGUCAGGUAUGCAGCCUAUCAGCUGAGUGCCGAAUUGAUGAGGGGGUAGAGGGCAGAACUUAUUUUUGUUGUCACGCAAGGACAUCUGAGAGUACAAUUUAUUCUCAGCCAGAUCAUGUGUAGGGGGUGGUUCUUCCUUCCUACCCGUCUUGUGGGUACCCAUGCUUUUGUAAUUCUAACCUAACCAUCCUUUAAAUUUGCACCUGCGAUUGUACCUCAAAAGGUGCUCUAUAUUUUUUGAUGAAUACUCUAGGUAGGUACCACCUGCUUUUUAGCUGGAAUCUACCAGUAUUGAUCAUUUCUUGGGAAGAAUGAAAACUCUAACGUGUAAAGCCUGGAGUCUCUAUGGGCAAAGAUGGCUCAUAGACAGUCAUUGUGAAGCAAGAGGGAGCCUGAAUGACACACAUUUUGUCAGGACAGUGGCCCCAGGGACUGAACUCUGACCAACUGUACCUUAAAAAAGCCAUGGUGAAAAAUCAGUGAGCUGAUAAUUGAGGAAGAGCUAGCGGGGAACUGAGGCAGUCAGUUCCGCUCCAAGGUAGAGGAGAAAUAGUUGUCUUGGUUAAAGACUGCCUGAGUACUUUGGGGGUGGGGCAGCAUGGGAGUAGGGGGCUGAUGAAGGAUGGAUGGUUUGUUCUGAAAGUUAUUUUCAGGGCUGGAAUUGACUCCAGAGUAUUUUUUUGCCCACUCCAGCAAAUCAUCAGCCCUGCUCUUGUGAUGAAAUAAAAUACACUUUCACAAAUUCCCCAGCUCCACUUAUAUUUCAGGGUUUGAUUAAUUUUCGACUUUUUGUUGUUUGCUUUUUGAGGAAUCACUGCAAGGAGGCUCCACAUCAACAUUUUCCUUCUCAGAGCAAGAUGCAGUUUUGCAAAAGUCUGGGAAGGGAAGGGGUGUUAGUGGACAAAGCAGAGACUGAGCACUAACCCUGUCAGUAGACCAGGCAGAGCCCCUCGUGCUAACACAAGGCCGAACUGCUAAGCCCUGGAGUCACGCUUGCAGAUGCUGACUUGAGGGAGCUAGUUUAGUGUAAUACGUCACGAUUCAAGAGUUAGCCAGGAGGAGUUCCUAUUGUGGCACAGCAGGAAACAAAUCCGACUAGGAACCAUGAGGUUGCAGGUUCAAUCCCUGACCUCGCUCAGUGGGUUAAGGAUCUGGCAUUGCCUUGAGCUGUGAUGUAGGUCGCAGACGUAGCUCGGGUCGAAUCCUGUAUCGCUGUGACAGCUGUAGCUCUGAUUGAACCCCUAGCCUGGGAAUUUCUAUAUGCUGCAAGUGCGGCCCUAAAAAGCAAAAAAAAAAAAAA
rnacentral:lncRNA from 1 species